GACGAACGCUGGCGGCGUGCUUAACACAUGCAAGUCGAACGGUAAGGCCCUUCGGGGUACACGAGUGGCGAACGGGUGAGUAACACGUGGGUGAUCUGCCCUGCACUUCGGGAUAAGCCUGGGAAACUGGGUCUAAUACCGGAUAGGACUCCGGACUGCAUGGUCUGGGGUGGAAAGCUUUUGCGGGGUGGGAUGGGCCCGCGGCCUAUCAGCUUGUUGGUGGGGUGAUGGCCUACCAAGGCGACGAAGGGUAGCCGGCCUGAGAGGGUGACCGGCCACACUGGGAGUGAGAUACGGCCCAGACUGCUACGGGAGGCAGCAGUGGGGAAUAUUGCACAAUGGGCGCAAGCCUGAUGCAGCGACGCCGCGUGAGGGAUGACGGCCUUCGGGUUGUAAACCUCUUUCAGCAUCGACGAAGCGAAAGUGACGGUAGGUGCAGAGGAAGGACCGGCCAACUACGUGCCAGCAGCCGCAGUAA
rnacentral:rRNA from 1 species